rnacentral:lncRNA from 1 species
UUUUACUAUGGUAAACACCUCUCUUUUGAUGUGCGAGUGCUACUCUUCUUAAUUCCUUCCUUUCAUUUGAACCAAUAUAAGUGUCAACAACACUUUCCAUGGAUUUUGGUUCAGGCCCAAAAGGAUUUCAACAAUUCUCAAGAAGAAAUUUAUGUCGACAUAUGUAGACUUCAAUAUACGAUUCUCAUGAAUCAAUAUCAUUAGCGGAAUUCUCAUUAUGCCUCUUAACUCCUUGUGAUUUCCCACAACAACGGAGUCAAGGUGUUUCGAUGUCCCAGCACCAUAAAAAUGUGUGCACAUCUGCGCUGAGCUCUGGAUGACGCGCAUCCAUCAGGUGUCAUUCAACGCGAGGUUGAAUCACAUUUACUCACUCAGGAGACCAUUUUCGCUGAAACAUAUGAGAACUUAAUCCCAUGUGACCAGAAUUCUCCCCCUCUUGCUCUCAUUCGGGGAUACGAGUGGUUAUUAGGUACGUCCACUCGUUCUGAUACGAAAAUCCAGUGACACCUUUGUCAUGAGUAAAUGUAUAUGGUAGAUUAUUUGCAAUACGUUGCAAAUUCUCAUAAUGUGAAUCUCUAGUUCAGAUUCUUAAGUACGUGGACAAAAUGUCUAUGACAUUUCUUUUGCAUUUCCUGGCAUUCUAUGUGGUACAUUUCUCCCCCUAAUGCCAUAAAAUAUCCUUAUUGCAAAAGCAAUCAGCGUACGAGCUACAUAUAACUCUCCCUCGCUAGGGUUAAGGUAUUUGACGGAUUAACAAUCAUACCACAGUUAUUCCUCACAUAGAUCCCAAAUAUAUGUGAAGGCCCGUAAUGUACGCUAGGUUGGUGAUAUCGGUGUGCAACCGAAUUACCGCAGAUGGGAAAAACUUCACUAAUUUCCACGUACAAACUGCAAGGGGUGCAUUAUUAUAUGCAUUUGAUCUUAUUUAGAACAAAUAUGCGGCGUAUGAGACCGCAUGUUACCACCAACAAAAUGUUGGAUCAUCAUAAUUCUGUAGCAAUGGCCAUGCAAUUUGACUCUCUUUGACAAGAGAUCUAGC